CGCGGGAUGGAGCAGUUGGCAGCUCGUUGGGCUCAUAACCCGAAGGUCGCAAGUUCGAGUCUUGCUCCCGCAACCA
rnacentral:tRNA from 1 species